rnacentral:rRNA from 1 species
UAGGGAAUCUUCGGCAAUGGACGAAAGUCUGACCGAGCAACGCCGCGUGAGUGAAGAAGGCCUUCGGAUCGUAAAACUCUGUUGUUAGAGAAGAACAAGGACGUUAGUAACUGAACGUCCCCUGACGGUAUCUAACCAGAAAGCCACGGCUAACUACGUGCCAGCAGCCGCGGUAAUACGUAGGUGGCAAGCGUUGUCCGGAUUUAUUGGGCGUAAAGCGAGCGCAGGCGGUUUCUUAAGUCUGAUGUGAAAGCCCCCGGCUCAACCGGGGAGGGUCAUUGGAAACUGGGAGACUUGAGUGCAGAAGAGGAGAGUGGAAUUCCAUGUGUAGCGGUGAAAUGCGUAGAUAUAUGGAGGAACACCAGUGGCGAAGGCGGCUCUCUGGUCUGUAACUGACGCUGAGGCUCGAAAGCGUGGGGAGCAAACAGG